rnacentral:rRNA from 1 species
GGGGAAUAUUGCACAAUGGGGGAAACCCUGAUGCAGCGACGCCGCGUGAGUGAAGAAGUAUUUCGGUAUGUAAAGCUCUAUCAGCAGGGAGAAAAUGACGGUACCUGACUAAAAAGCCCCGGCUAACUAC